rnacentral:rRNA from 1 species
UACGUAGGGUGCAAGCGUUGUCCGGAAUUAUUGGGCGUAAAGAGCUCGUAGGCGGUCUGUCGCGUCUGCUGUGAAAACUCAGGGCUUAACCCUGAGCUUGCAGUGGGUACGGGCAGACUAGAGUGCGGUAGGGGAGACUGGAAUUCCUGGUGUAGCGGUGAAAUGUGCAGAUAUCAGGAGGAACACCGAUGGCGAAGGCAGGUCUCUGGGCCACUACUGACGCUGAGAAAGCGGAAAGCAUGGGGGAGCGAACAG